ensembl:lncRNA
CGGGAGCGCGCGUUUAUUUCUGAGCCGCAGUCGCAGAGAGACAGAGAGCGUGUACGGGAGCGCGCCUGGGAUUUUCUCUCCUUUCUCCUAGAGGAUCGCGUUCAGGAAUUAUCCAGAGGACUUUCAUGUGAACAUACACACACAGACACACACACACACACACACACACACACACACAGAGUGUGAGUGUGUGUGUUUAUUCUGCUAUAUAAGGGAUGAGCUGAUACACAUGUGAUGGAUCACACAUUUCGGGAAUGAUGGAAAACCUGUUAGGAAUAUAAACACACUUUACAGCUUGGAGUGUGAGAGCAGGACAUCAUCCUCACAGCACACAUGGAACAUCACCAGACUGUGUUUUGGACUCAUAAAGAAACUGCAAGAAGGAAGCGUACAGAGUAGGGCUGGGCGAUAUAUUGAUAUAAUAUCGAUAUCGUGAUAAAUGACUACGCGAUACACUUUUCAGAGAUAUCGUGAUGGAACUCUUGGCGGAUUUGGCGGAUUUGGCUGGAAUAUAGAGACACGAACAGCACAUCUGGAGGAAAAGUGAGUAAAUGAACCAGCUAGGUUACUAGUACGUGUAUAUAAGUGUAUGAAAUCUGACACAAAUCAGAAGCGGCUUUAGAUGCUUCGGCAACGAUAAUAAUCCUUUAAUAGUGAGUCUGUUACUCUAUUUAUAGUCCAUAUAAUAAUAUUGAUUUAUAGUCCAUAUAAAUCACAAAUCUCUGUUUGACGCUUUUCAGUCCGAGAAAGAAAAGAGGCUCUUUAGUGGGCUUUUCUUCCAUUGUUCAUUGUCCA